rnacentral:snRNA from 1 species
ACGGUUUCUCGGCCUUUUGGCUAAGAUCAAAGUGUAGUAUCUGUUCUUAUCAGUUUAAUAUAUAUAUAUAUAUAUAUAUAUAUAUAUAUAUAUAUAU